rnacentral:rRNA from 1 species
GACGAACCGUGCGAACGUUGUUCGGAAUCACUGGGCUUAAAGGGCGCGUAGGCGGGCCGGAUAGUCAGGGGUGAAAGCCCGCGGCUUAACCGCGGAAGCGCCUCUGAUACUGCCGGCCUGGAGGGGGGUAGGGGCGCGCGGAACUUCCGGUGGAGCGGUGAAAUGCGUAGAUAUCGGAAGGAACGCCGGUGGCGAAAGCGGCGCGCUGGACCCCGCCUGACGCUGAGGCGCGAAAGCCAGGGGAGCGAACGGG